rnacentral:rRNA from 1 species
ACGUAGGGCGCAAGCGUUGUCCGGAAUUAUUGGGCGUAAAGAGCUCGUAGGCGGUUUGUCGCGUCGGCUGUGAAAACUGGAGGCUUAACCUUCAGCGUGCAGUCGAUACGGGCAGACUUGAGUUCGGUAGGGGAGUCUGGAAUUCCUGGUGUAGCGGUGAAAUGCGCAGAUAUCAGGAGGAACACCGGUGGCGAAGGCGGGACUCUGGGCCGAUACUGACGCUGAGGAGCGAAAGCGUGGGGAGCGAACAGGA